CCAACUGUAUUGGAUAAUAAAUGAAUUAUAGGUCACCUUUUAACCUUUAAUUUGUUUCAUAGUACUAUAAAAAGAAAAAAGAAAAACGCAGGUAUAUAAUGAAAAUUUUACUUUCAGUGCAAGUGAAAUUGACCGUCUCAGUCUUAUUCUCCAAACUGGAGCCACAAUGCAGUAAGUCCACAAUUGUAGGACUUUUAUUUUAUUUUGCUGCAUCAUUACAAUUUCCCUUCAGACCCGUUCCAGCAUGACAAUGCCCCUGUGCACAAAGCUCCAUGAAGACACGAUUGGAGCGGAAGAACCUGAGUGUCCUCUGGGAUGAACUGAGGAGAACUAGGAUUAAAAGCACUUAUAGUUAUGUUGGUCAAGUAUCCACAAACCUUUGCCUAUAUAGUGUAUAUCUCUCAUUUGAAAAUAGUUAUUAACAGAGAAACAAAUAAUCACUGACAAAAAUAAAUAGAAACAAUUAAAAAACAGGCAUUUACAAGUCUAUGAACAACAGCUCUGUUCAAAUCAUUUUUCUGCUUGGUCAAGAGGUGUUUAUUAGUUUAUAUUAAUUAUUAUAUAAUAAUAACGUGUUCAUUUUUGUUUCUAUAAUAGCAGCCCAUUUUACAGGGACUGGAAUAUCAGACAAUUUAUUUAAUUUAAGGUUAAUUAAAUGCUGAAUUUGAAUUAUAUUCAACAAGAACAAGAAAGUGUAUAAUAAUUGAUGGGUUUUUGUAGUAAAAUGUUUAUUUGAUUUGCUUAUUUAUGGAAAAUGUAUGAGUCUCCAAUGCCACAGGAUUAUUCUCUGUAUUUUGCAGUGUUUUUUCCCUCCUUUAUUAACCUAUAGGGAAAAACAAAGAGGUCGGCGAGGGAACAGUUGUUUCUAGCUGUUAUAACAUAAGCGAUAACAAGAAGUAACAUGUCUCAAAGAAGCUCCACAGCAAUGCGUUAAAACUCUGAAUGGAUAAAAUGCACUGGCAUAUUGCUAUAGUGUAAGUGGUAGAAGAAACACAUAUAUUAUAUUAUAUAUAACUCUGUAUCACGCCAUGCUGUCACUGAUUUUUUUCCUUCAAGUGUUUUAUUCCUUGCAAAACUAUCACAAAGAAGAAACAUCAGUAAAAGACAAAACAAUUCACAAAGACACAAUACAAUAAAUGCAUUACACAACAUCUCUACUCAACUCCCAAGCGUCACCUGCAGGACCUUCGCAUCUGCCCUGACUGCACCUACAUCUCACAGCCAGGAUUCCCCUACUCCUUUGUUGUCACAUUUCUUAACCAUAGCAGCAGAGAAGAGAUUUUGAGAUGGAGAUACCACAGCUUCCGCUCGGAUCUCAGCGUGUCUGGCGGACAUAUUGUCGUGGAUGAUGGCUCAUCAGUUGAAGCUCAAUCCUAGCAAAACUAAACUGCUGAUCAUCAGGCUGCUCAGGUACUUGUUGUCUCUUGUCUUUUCAAGACUGGAGUACUGCAACUUUCUCCUGUCAGGUCUACCUAUGAACGCAAAUGAUCCAAACUGCAGCUGCACAACUCAUUUUCACCCUGCCUAAGUUCCCCACACCAGCCCAUUGCUGCUGUCCUCCACUGGCUCCUGUAGCUGAACACAUCAGAUUCAAAACACUGAUGCUUGCCUACAAAGCCAAAAACAGACCAGCUCUAUCUCACCUCAAAGCCCUCAUCACUCUUUGCACUGCACCUCGCUCCCUCAGGUCUACCAGCACUGCUCCACUGGUCCCACCAUCUCUCAGAGUAAGAGGGAGGUACACAUCAUGACACUUCUGUUCUGGCACCGAGAUGGUGGAAAGAACUUCCCCUAGGGGUCCGGAAAGCUGAGUCACUGGAUAUCUUCAAUCGAUGGUUGAAGACCUACUUCUUCAUGAAAUACUUGAACUAGCACUUUAUCCCCUGUUUGUUGUCUAUGUGAAUUAAAAAAAAAUUUAAACAGAGUUUUAGGCUCGUGGUAUCUUAAGUCUGUAACCUAGUGGACCAGAGUUAAUGUAUUCAAUGAGAGAGACUCAAAAGCACUUUUGUACGUCACUUUGGAUAAGAGAGUCUGCCAAAUUCUGUAAAUG